rnacentral:RNase_P_RNA from 1 species
UUGGCAGACCACCUUAUCGCUGUGAGACCAACUUGUUUCGGUAUUAUUCUAUUUUGAAGGAUUUUGAAGCAAGUUUGAAUCAGGGAGGAAAGUCCGGACACCGUAGUGCGGCAUAGCGGGUAACGCCCGUCCGCUGAAAGGCGAGGACCAGUGCAACAGAAAGCAAGUACAGUUCGGCUGUAGUGAAAUCAGGUAAACUCUAUGCGGUGAAACGCCAUGUAAACCAACGUUUGAGGGCUGCACGCCCAAGUUGGAGGGUAGGCGGUUAGAGUUUUUGGGCAACCAAAAAACUAGAUAAAUGAUAAGGCUCGACAGAAUCCGGCUUAUGGUCUGUUAGAAUA